AGCAGCCGCGGUAAUUCCAGCUCCAAUAGCGUAUAUUAAAGUUGUUGCAGUUAAAAAGCUCGUAGUUGAAUUUCGGGAUCAAUUUAUUGGUCGUGCUAUUGUACGUACUGGUAUUAUUGAUUUCUACCUUCUGACGAACCAUGAUGUCAUUAAUUUGGUGUCUUGGGGAAUCAGGACUGUUACUUUGAAAAAUUAGAGUGUUUAAAGCAGGCUCACGCUUGAAUACAUUAGCAUGGAAUAACGAAAUAGGACGUUUGAUUCUAUUUUGUUGGUUUCUAGGAUCGACGUAAUGAUUAAUAGGGAUAGUUGGGGGCAUUAGUAUUCAAUUGUCAGAGGUGAAAUUCUUGGAUUUACUGAAGACUAACUACUGCGAAAGCAUUUGCCAAGGAUGUUUUCAUUAAUCAAGAACGAGAGUUAGGGGAUCGAAGACGAUCAGAUACCGUCGUAGU
rnacentral:rRNA from 1 species